UUUUUUCGCGAGCUCCCGUAAGCGCACCCAGACGGUCAGCACCAUUCUAACCAUCGAACGUGUUCAGCAUCGUGCCACUAAGUUCAUCCUAUCUCUGCCAUACCAAACAGAUAUCUCGUAUAAGGAUUAAGGAGAGAUUGCAGAUUCUCGGCAUCAUCCCUCUAUGUUACUGGCACGAAUAUUUAGACAUAAUUUAUAUCUUUAAAAGUCUCAUAAAUGACUCUGACAGUAACAUCUCGGUCAAAGUCUCAACAUGAGAAACAAGAAGUGCAAG